rnacentral:rRNA from 1 species
AUUGAACGCUGGCGGCAUGCCUUACACAUGCAAGUCGAACGGUAACAGGUUAAGCUGACGAGUGGCGAACGGGUGAGUAAUGUAUCGGAACGUGCCCAGUCGUGGGGGAUAACUACUCGAAAGAGUGGCUAAUACCGCAUACGACCUGAGGGUGAAAGCGGGGGACCGUAAGGCCUCGCGCGAUUGGAGCGGCCGAUAUCAGAUUAGCUAGUUGGUGGGGUAAAAGCCCACCAAGGCGACGAUCUGUAGAUGGUCUGAGAGGACGACCAGCCACACUGGGACUGAGACACGGCCCAGACUCCUACGGGAGGCAGCAGUGGGGAAUUUUGGACAAUGGACGCAAGUCUGAUCCAGCCAUGCCGCGUGCGGGAAGAAGGCCUUCGGGUUGUAAACCGCUUUUGUCAGGGAAGAAACGAGUUUCUCUAAUACAGAGACUUAAUGACGGUACCUGAAGAAUAAGCACCGGCUAACUACGUGCCAGCCGCCGCAGUAAGAC